GGGAGAGGAGAGAACUCACAGGCUGAGCAAAAUCAAUAUUCAGUUUUGAAAGAGAUUUCUAUAAGAGAAAUAAAUAAUCGGUUAACCAAAUAAAUGAGUUAACUAACAGUGAAGUGUAAGAUAGAGUUGUUUGCUAGAGCUUCGAGUUUGUGAGCUUUAUAAGUUCUCUUCUUAAAAUUUUGCCAGAGGGAUUUUUCGGAUAAGUUACUUCCAGCUGUUCUUACGAUAUAUGCCAUUGGAUAUUUCCCAGCUUUCAAGUCAGGGAUGCUUCAAAAAACAUAAGAAAUAAAAAGUAAAGAGCUACAGAAAAAAAAGGUCAUUAAAAAGAGAAGAAUUUAGCAAUCUCUAUCAUGUUAAAAGAAAAAGUCCUUGCGGUAUUACUGCUGCAUCAGCAAUCUCUGGAUGAGCAAGCAACAAUGCUUCAAGCUCAGCUGGAGCAACCUAACAAACAUUUUAAACCAUUACCAAAACACACCAACUUUACAAAAGAUGAUCCACACAUUAAGAAAGAUUUUUGUUUAUUACCUGAUAACGAUUGCAUUUGAUAAGCUCCUUUAAUCUAUCAACAACAAAGACAAAAACCUUCAUUGUCAAUGUAACACAAAUCUCCAGUCUUCAACUAUCCUUCUGAAUCAAUAGUAGAUGCAGUAGCUUCCUCGUUCUUAAAAUAAACUUUUAAAAACAACUCAAAACAGUUUCAUACCAAAAACAAAAACACCUUUUCGAAAAGAAUCAAUCACCUUUCAUCACGGUAGGACUCUGGAGGCAGAGCUCCCCGGUUCAAUGCACCCCCAAGACCCGACCCGUAUCCGGAUCCACAAUCUUACCAUCCACGUUCGGAGCAAGCAAACCAGAGGAUCCGUACCUCUCAGUCUCCUCUUUAGUAAACAUAGAAGCAACUAUAGCCGCCGUCUCAGUCAAGCCAUAGCCUUGCAGAAAUUUAAUGUUACUGUAUCUCUCAACGAACUUCUCCGUCACCUCUUUAAUAGUUUACCCAUUCUUCAAUAUACUCACACGCCAAACUGUUUCUGCAUAUAAAAUUGUUUCAUAAAGUCUCCUUCUUUACAAUAGCACAACACAAUAAACAGAAUGGGAGCUUCUUUUUUUUGAUCAGCAAAAACAUUGUAUGAAUGAUGAGAUUUGAUGUUUUCACCUAUCCAUCUAAAUUAAGAGAGCUGAGAAACCGUUUGUAGGAUGAAGUGAAGGUAAGCUUGAUUGGAUCAGGAGGACUGAGAAACCGUUGGUAGAGGGAAGUGGAUAAAAGCUUGAUUGGAUCAGGAGGACUAUCGCUAAUCCGUAGCUGCUUGCCCCUAAAAACGCAGAAGACUCGAUCCCUCGCAGAAGAUUUCCUUUACAGUUUGGCAGCGGAGGUAAGGAGCAGAAGCAUAAUUAAGUUGAUUGAAAUGCACCCCUAAACCAUCACGCCUUGAUUGACCAGAGGUGGUGAAGUGAAUAUCGAACGUCACAGCAACGACUCCGUCUUCACGCAAUGAUCGCAGGUGAGAGACGGUGGAUUGAUUUCAGGUCCAAUGAAUAGAUCGUGAUUUUCAGAAGAGAAAUAAUGUCUUAUUUAUACAUGAUAUCACAGAUCCUCGCCGAUGCAAACAAAGCAUUGAAGAACUUGUACAAAACCAUAACGCACUCAGUUUCAGAAACCGUGAGGAAGAUUGAUCGUCCCAUACACAUAUGUUCACUACAAGAAAAAUGAGUAUUGAUAGCAGUAGAAGAUAGCAUUUUUUCGCUUUCUGCUAUGGUUGACAUACCCGUUAGUUUUAGAUAGCGUUUGUAUUUUUGGAAACGCUACGAUAGAACGGCAUAAUUGGAAACGCUAUGAUAGCACAUGGUUUUAUAUGUAACACUUAUGUUUAAUAGCAAAACACAUUUAAAAACGCUAUGUUUGGUAUUUUAAAUCCCUAAACCCUAAACAAGUUUUUAAACUCUAAGCACAAACUUUUAAACUCUACUAUUUUAACAUCAUAUCUUAAAUUAAACUUCAAUUCUUAAAUAUAAACUUAAAAUUAAUAUUUUUCAAAAAUUCAUCUCAAAUCUAAAUCAAUACCCUAAACCUUUAACCCUCGAACCAUAUACUCUAUCUUUUAUUUUAAACUCCAAACUUCAAAUCUAAUCUUUUCAAACGUAAUACAUCAAAUAUCUUAUUUAUAAAUCAUAACAACUAUUAAAUUUAUAUACAUAUUUACUUUACACUAAUUAUAUAUAAAUCUUAAAUUUGUUUACAUUUGUACUUUACAUACCCUAAACUCUAACUAAAAAUCUAAUUAAAACUAUAAUAUUUUAUUAUUUAAUUUAAAAUAUUAAAUUUGAGAUUUAAUGAAAGUAUAAUAUCAAAUCUUAAAUCUGAACCCUAAGCACUAUAUUCCAAACCCUAAACUAUAUCCUUAUAUAUAUAUAUCAUGCCCUAAAUUAAUCACAUAUCCGAAACUCUAACUAAAAAAUAAUAAAACUCUAAUAAUUUUUUAUUUUAUUUUAAAUUUAAUCAACAUAUAAUCUCAAAUCUGAACCCUAAGCACUAUAUUCCAAACCCUACAGUCCCUAAGUUUUACACCCUAAACUCUAAACUUCAUACUUAAACCACACAUCUAAAAAAAUCUGCAUAUAAACAUAAAAUCUAAAUUUGAAACUUUUAAAUUUUAUAGCAAAUAUACAGUUUAGUAUAAAUAUAACCUAAUUUUGUUCCCAAUUUUUAAACUUUUUAAACUGUAAACUUGAAAUAUAAACUACAAAAUAUACUUGUGGUUAAACAUAUAAGUCAACUUUAUUAAACAUAUGAAGUAAAAAUAAUUAAAAGAAACCAUUACAGAAAAACAAAACAAAAACAAAUCUCAUUGGCUAGUCAUUUACGUCUGUUUGAUUGGAUUCAAUCCAAUGGACAAGAUCUGUCCCUUCUCAUUUUAUCAGUCUUAUUUCUCAUUGGAUGAUAAAUGUUGGUGAGGAUAACCAAGUUUUAAUCUCUACCAUUGAUAAAAUCUUAUCCAAUGGUGAGAAUAUCAAGAGCUUUUCUCUCUAUCUUUCCCAUCUCUCACAAUCUCCGUCUCUCUCAACCUCUGUAUCUCUCAAUCCCAGCCGCCAUGUCUCUCCAUCUCUCUCAAUCGCCAUCCCUCGUAACCUCUGUGUCUCCAAAGAGAAGAAGUAGUGGAUAACGAAGGAGUGGAGUCGGAGCUGUGCCGGAGUCGGAGCGGGACUAGCUAUGCCGGAUUCUGCAGGCGGAGGAAGACGGUGGGACGAUGACAUGGGAAAGAGAAGUGAUGGAGAAUGGAUGAGGACAGAAGAUGGUGUAGCUAACAGCGUGGUUUUAAGCGUCGAUGUGAAGGAGUUCGUGAUGGUGGUUGAUAGAUCCGGUGAAGGAGGUGGCUGGUGUAAACAUACACACGAGGCUGAGGCGGAGAGGUGGAGGCACGAUGAGUUAGGUUUCUUUUUUAGGUUUAGCUUUUUAGGUUUACUUUUUUGGUUUACACUUAAACCAAUUUUGAUUUAUUUUUAUAUGUGAACCAGUUUUAAUUUAUGAAUAAUUUGUAAUUCAAUUUC